rnacentral:rRNA from 1 species
AGUGAACGCUGGCGGUAGGCCUAACACAUGCAAGUCGAACGGCAGCACAGGAGAGCUUGCCCUCUGGGUGGCGAGUGGCGGACGGGUGAGGAAUACAUCGGAAUCUACUCUGUCGUGGGGGAUAACGUAGGGAAACUUACGCUAAUACCGCAUACGACCUACGGGUGAAAGCAGGGGACCUUCGGGCCUUGCGCGAUUGAAUGAGCCGAUGUCGGAUUAGCUAGUUGGCGGGGUAAAGGCCCACCAAGGCGACGAUCCGUAGCUGGUCUGAGAGGAUGAUCAGCCACACUGGAACUGAGACACGGUCCAGACUCCUACGGGAGGCAGCAGUGGGGAAUAUUGGACAAUGGGCGCAAGCCUGAUCCAGCCAUACCGCGUGGGUGAAGAAGGCCUUCGGGCUGUAAAGCCCUUUUGUUGGGAAAGAAAUCCAGCUGGCUAAUACCCGGUUGGGAUGACGGUACCCAAAGAAUAAGCACCGGCUAACUUCGUGCCAGCAGCCGCCGUAA